rnacentral:rRNA from 1 species
UACGGAGGGUGCGAGCGUUGUCCGGAAUCACUGGGCGUAAAGGGCGCGUAGGCGGCCUGAUAAGUCGGGGGUGAAAUCCUGCGGCUUAACCGCAGGGCUGCCUUCUAAACUGUCAGGCUCGAGCACAGUAGAGGCAGGUGGAAUUCCCGGUGUAGCGGUGGAAUGCGUAGAGAUCGGGAAGAACAUCGGUGGCGAAGGCGGCCUGCUGGGCUGUUGCUGACGCUGAGGCGCGACAGCGUGGGGAGCAAACAGG